rnacentral:rRNA from 1 species
CGCGGCCUAUCAGCUUGUUGGUGGGGUAACGGCCCACCAAGGCGACGACGGGUAGCUGGCGUGAGAGCGUGGUCAGCCACACUGGGACUGAGACACGGCCCAGACUCCUACGGGAGGCAGCAGUGGGGGAUCUUGCGCAAUGGGCGAAAGCCUGGCGCAGCGACGCCGCGUGGGGGACGAAGGCCUUCGGGUUGUAAACCCCUUUCAGCGGGGACGAAGCGAAAGUGACGGUACCCGCAGAAGAAGCCCCGGCCAACUACGUGCCAGCAGCCGCGGUAAGACGUAGGGGGCGAGCGUUGUCCGGAAUUAUUGGGCGUAAAGCGCGCGCAGGCGGCCCGGUAAGUCGGUUGUGAAAACCCGGGGCUCAACCCCGGGCCUGCUGCCGAUACUGCCGGGCUCGAGGCAGGUAGGGGAGAGUGGAAUUCCCGGUGUAGCGGUGAAAUGCGCAGAUAUCGGGAGGAACACCGGUGGCGAAGGCGGCUCUCUGGGCCUGUCCUGACGCUCAUGCGCGAAAGCUGGGGGAGCAAACAGGAUUAGAUACCCUGGUAGUCCCAGCCGUAAACGAUGGGUGCUAGGUGUGGGGAGCAUCAACCCUCUCCGUGCCGGAGCUAACGCAUUAAGCACCCCGCCUGGGGAGUACGG